rnacentral:rRNA from 1 species
CACGUGAGUAACCUGCCCUUGACUCUGGGAUAAGCGCUAGAAAUGGCGUCUAAUACCGGAUACGAGCUUCAGCCGCAUGGCUAGGAGUUGGAAAGAAUUUUGGUCAAGGAUGGACUCGCGGCCUAUCAGCUAGUUGGUGAGGUAAUGGCUCACCAAGGCGACGACGGGUAGCCGGCCUGAGAGGGUGACCGGCCACACUGGGACUGAGACACGGCCCAGACUCCUACGGGAGGCAGCAGUGGGGAAUAUUGCACAAUGGGCGAAAGCCUGAUGCAGCAACGCCGCGUGAGGGAUGACGGCCUUCGGGUUGUAAACCUCUUUUAGUAGGGAAGAAGCGAAAGUGACGGUACCUGCAGAAAAAGCACCGGCUAACUACGUGCCAGCAGCCGCGGUAAUACGUAGGGUGCAAGCGUUGUCCGGAAUUAUUGGGCGUAAAGAGCUCGUAGGCGGUUUGUCGCGUCUGCUGUGAAAUCUGGGGGCUCAACCCCCAGCCUGCAGUGGGUACGGGCAGACUAGAGUGCGGUAGGGGAGAUUGGAAUUCCUGGUGUAGCGGUGGAAUGCGCAGAUAUCAGGAGGAACACCGAUGGCGAAGGCAGAUCUCUGGGCCGUAACUGACGCUGAGGAGCGAAAGCAUGGGGAGCGAACAGGAUUAGAUACCCUGGUAGUCCAUGCCGUAAACGUUGGGAACUAGAUGUGGGGGCCAUUCCACGGUCUCCGUGUCGCAGCUAACGCAUUAAGUUCCCCGCCUGGGGAGUACGGCCGCAAGGCUAAAACUCAAAGGAAUUGACGGGGGCCCGCACAAGCGGCGGAGCAUGCGGAUUAAUUCGAUGCAACGCGAAGAACCUUACCAAGGCUUGACAUAUACCGGAAACGUCCAGAGAUGGUCGCCCCGCAAGGUCGGUAUACAGGUGGUGCAUGGUUGUCGUCAGCUCGUGUCGUGAGAUGUUGGGUUAAGUCCCGCAACGAGCGCAACCCUCGUUCUAUGUUGCCAGCACGUUAUGGUGGGAACUCAUAGGAGACUGCCGGGGUCAACUCGGAGGAAGGUGGGGAUGACGUCAAAUCAUCAUGCCCCUUAUGUCUUGGGCUUCACGCAUGCUACAAUGGCCGGUACAAAGGGCUGCGAUACCGUAAGGUGGAGCGAAUCCCAAAAAGCCGGUCUCAGUUCGGAUUGAGGUCUGCAACUCGACCUCAUGAAGUCGGAGUCGCUAGUAAUCGCAGAUCAGCAACGCUGCGGUGAAUACGUUCCCGGGCCUUGUACACACCGCCCGUCAAGUCAUGAAAGUCGGUAACACCCGAAGCCAGUGAGC